AUUGAACGCUGGCAGCAGGCCUAACACAUGCAAGUCGAACGGUAACAGGAAACAGCUUGCUGUUUCGCUGACGAGUGGCGGACGGGUGAGUAAUGUCUGGGAAACUGCCUGAUGGAGGGGGAUAACUACUGGAAACGGUAGCUAAUACCGCAUAACGUCGCAAGACCAAAGAGGGGGACCUUCGGGCCUCUUGCCAUCGGAUGUGCCCAGAUGGGAUUAGCUAGUAGGUGGGGUAACGGCUCACCUAGGCGACGAUCCCUAGCUGGUCUGAGAGGAUGACCAGCCACACUGGAACUGAGACACGGUCCAGACUCCUACGGGAGGCAGCAGUGGGGAAUAUUGCACAAUGGGCGCAAGCCUGAUGCAGCCAUGCCGCGUGUAUGAAGAAGGCCUUCGGGUUGUAAAGUACUUUCAGCGGGGAGGAAGGGAGUAAAGUUAAUACCUUUACUCAUUGACGUUACCCGCAGAACAAGCACCGGCUAACUCCGUG
rnacentral:rRNA from 1 species